rnacentral:ncRNA from 1 species
GAACGCCGUGUGCGGUGAAAAUUGCAUGCACGGUGUGAAAUGGGGGAAAAGGCAGCGAUGAUUUCAAACCCUUACCUAUCAUUAU